GGUAAAAUGGCUGAUAAAGGCGAUAAAUUGUAAAUUUAUUUAUGAAAGAUUUUUUCUUUUACCA
rnacentral:tRNA from 1 species